CAGGGGGCCCGUGGGCCCAUUCCAGCAGCCCUCCCUCCCCUCCCGCAGGCAGCUGUCCCCGCAUUCAGCAGUGGGGGGCAUAGGACCCCCGGAAAUAGACCAGAAAGGGCUCCGAGAAGCCCCUCCUGGACCCGGGGGCCGAGGAUGCCCCAUUAAGGCAUCCAGGUCACCAGCCUGGCCACCGAGGACACUCCUCCACCUCCCAGAUGAGGGCCGAGUCUGCCUGAAGCCAGGGACAACUAACACAGGCAGGGUCAUGCCUCACGCCCUGGCACACCUGCUUCCCAUGAGGAUCUUUGGUGACUGUCUGCAGGAGUCAAGAGUCGGCAAGGAUCUAGGGCUGCAUGGCAUCAGCUGAAGAGUCCCCUGCCAGGCUGUGGAGCUUCAGAUGGCAUCAAGUUGGAAUAGCUCUUUAAAGUGUCUGGUUUUCCAAGGAACGGUGAAUUCCCCAAACAGAGUCACCUCAUUCAGCCUUUGUCUUCACAUUUUUAUGCUCAGCACAGUACCCUGUUGCACUUGGAGUAAUCUCAGUGAAUGAAUAGAUGAACACAUGAAUGGAUGGAUGGGUGAGCAGGCAUUCUAGCUUGUAUCUAGAUGUCCCCCCAAAACCUCAUGCAGCCAUGGGUGGAGCUUUUCAGAGGUGCUGGAUCUAGCGUGUGUGAUGCUGGGAUCAAGGACAGAUGCUGGCCUUGACUCAUGGUGCAAUGGUAGGAUUAAGGCUGCCCCACCCUGCCUUAAGGGUAGGUAGCCUGGAUAGGAUGUUAGGACCAAAAGAGUGUUGUUGAUUGUCCUUUGUUGCUUGUGGCUUCGCUUCCUCCCCACUUUGCUGUCUCCUGCCUGCCAUGAACUGUCUCUCCUCUGCCUUGAAGCCAGUUGUGUAUAGCCUGAAACCUCUACAAACUGUGAGUUAAAUAAACCUUUCCUCCUUUAACUCUGAGUGCCUGAUAUUUUGUCUCAAUGAUGAGAAAAGACUGGGUGAGUAAAUGGAUGGGUAUGGUUGGAUGAAUGGAUAAAUAGAAGAAUGGACAGGCUGGUUGGACUAAUGAAUGGGUGGGUAGAAAGAU
rnacentral:lncRNA from 1 species